AGCGAACGCUGGCGGCAGGCUUAACACAUGCAAGUCGAGCGGGCAUCCUUGUGGUGUCAGCGGCAGACGGGUGAGUAACGCGUGGGAACGUGCCCUUCGGUUCGGAAUAACUCAGGGAAACUUGAGCUAAUACCGGAUACGUGCGAGAGCAGAAAGGUUUAUCUGCCGAAGGAUCGGCCCGCGUCUGAUUAGCUAGUUGGUGAGGUUAUGGCUCACCAAGGCGACGAUCAGUAGCUGGUCUGAGAGGAUGAUCAGCCACACUGGGACUGAGAGACGGCCCAGACUCCUACGGGAGGCAGCAGUGGGGAAUAUUGGACAAUGGGGGCAACCCUGAUCCAGCCAUGCCGCGUGAGUGAUGACGGCCUUAGGGUUGUAAAGCUCUUUUCUCCGGGACGAUAAUGACGGUACCGGAGGAAUAAGCCCCGGCUAACUUCGUG
rnacentral:rRNA from 1 species